rnacentral:rRNA from 1 species
CCUACGGGUGGCUGCAGUAGGGAAUAUUGCUCAAUGGGGGAAACCCUGAAGCAGCAAAGCCGCGUGAAGGAUGACGGUUUUCGGAUUUUAAACUCCUUUUGUUAGAGAAGAUAAUGACGGUAUCUAACGAAUAAGCACCGGCUAACUCCGUGCCAGCAGCCGCGGUAAUACGGAGGCUGCAAGCGUUACUCGGAAUCACUGGGCGUAAAGAGCGCGUAGGCGGGAUAGCAAGUCAGAUGUGAAAUCCUAUGGCGUAAACAUAAAACUGCAGUUGAAACUGUUAUUCUAGAGUAUGGGAGAGGUAGGUGGAAUUCGUGGUGUAGGGGUAAAAUCCGUAGAGAGCAAGAGGAAGACUCAUUGCGAAGGCGACCUGCUAGAACAUAACUGACGCUGAUGCGCGAAAGCGUGGGGAGCAAACAGGAUUAGAUACCCGAGUAGUC